rnacentral:rRNA from 1 species
UCCAGACUCCUACGGGAGGCAGCAGUGAGGAAUAUUGGUCAAUGGGCGGGAGCCUGAACCAGCCAAGUCGCGUGAGGGAUGACGGCCCUACGGGUUGUAAACCUCUUUUGCCGGGGAGCAACGGGCGCCACGUGUGGCGCCACUGAGAGUACCCGGAGAAAAAGCAUCGGCUAACUCCGUGCCAGCAGCCGCGGUAAUACGGAGGAUGCGAGCGUUAUCCGGAUUUAUUGGGUUUAAAGGGUGCGCAGGCGGCACGGCAGGCCGGCGGUCAAAUCGCGGGGCUCAACCCCGCCCAGCCGUCGGAACUGCCGGGCUAGAGUGGGCGAGAAGUGCGCGGAAUGCGUGGUGUAGCGGUGAAAUGCAUAGAUAUCACGCAGAACUCCGAUUGCGAAGGCAGCAUGCCGGCUUCCGACUGACGCUGAAGCACGAAAGCGUGGGGAUCGAACAGGAUUAGAUACCCGCGUACG